rnacentral:lncRNA from 1 species
CCGUUUUAGUCCUCGAUGACUCUCCUUUUCUUUCGAUGCUGACGUUUCAGGUUCUUUGUUGGCUACGAAAAUAAUAGUAAUUUAUAUUAUUUACAGCAUUAUUAUAAUAAAUAAUUAAAUUUCUAAACAAUUCCUACCUUAUUCCCAAUUUAAUCCUAACUAAACUUAAUUAUUUUCUUAAUCCAAUUCACUCUCUUUUUCUAUUCAAAUUUUGUCUAAACUUAUAUUUAACUAUAAAAUUUCCAGCAUAUUUCCCUAAUUUCGAAAUUUCUUCAAUUUAGUCCCUUCAACAUAAAACUUAUAGCCUAGUUUACAAUUUAAUCCCUUAAUCAGUUCUAACUUAGAAUUCAUUCAAUUAAAUCCCUAAUUCCAUAAUUUAUCCAACAUAAACCAUAUUUGGAAACAUAUAAACUCUUGAAUUAUGAACUUAAUUUCAUCAAAACUUGUUUUAAAACUUCUAAAAUAUCAAAAUUAAGAGAAAAGUACUUAAUUAAGCUUACAAAUUAAACUUGAAGCUUUAAAAUCUCAAUUUCCCUUUUUAUUUUCUUUCCCUUUUUCUUCCCCUAUUUUCGUUUUGGUCCCUGCUUCGUUUCUGUUUCUUUUGUUUUGUUUCUUUGUUUCCUUAAUUCUUUUUAUGCUUUAUUAUUUUAUUAACAUAAUAUAAUAUUAAUAUCAUAUAUUAAAAUAACUUUUACUUUAAUAUUAAGUAAAUUAAUAAUUAUAUAACAAGUGUACAUAUUUAUAUUAUUACAAAUGUCAUUAUCUAAUUUGCUUAUCAAAUAAAAAUCUCAUUAUUUAAUUAAUACAAUUAAUAAUUAUAAAAUAUCUUUAUACUUAAAUUAUAAGUAAUUAAAUAUUUAAAUUACAAUUGUACCAAUACAAUUCCUACACAUGUAUAUUUUAUUACCAUACAAUUGUCUUCUAUUUAAUUUAUUUAAUAAUAAUGCUAAUAAUAAUAAUCUAAUAUAAAACCAUAAUGUUAAUUAAUAAUUAUAAUAAUUUAAUAUAAAACCAUAAUAAUAAUCAUUAUAAUAUAUAAAACCUAAAAAAAAUCUUUGAUUUUAUUUUACCAAUAUGUCGCCUCAUUUGUAGUCAAUGGCUUAAUUGCCAUUUUAAUUCUUUUUAUUUUCUAUUGCUUUAUAAUUAAACUUUUACCCUUUAUUCAAUUUAAUCCUUUUUAUUACUUACUCUAAAUUAAGCUAAAUUCACCUAAUUAGAUCCUAAUUAGACACACCACUAGGCUCAUAAAUAUUUUUAAUAAUUAUUUUCGAACUUAUUUCACUAAGACGGAGGCCCUAUAACUCACUUUUCCGGUGCCCGUGAAUUUCGGGUUAUUACAUUACACAUACCUUAUAGUAGCUAUCCACACAUGCUUUGCAAAGACAAUGCAUAAAUAAUUUACAGUUACACAUGACUACCCUACAUAGUAAUCUGAUUCACAAAGAAAAUUUCACAGUAAUCUGAUUCACAGCACAUACCAUCGAAUCGGCAGCAGAAAAAUCUAACAAAAAUUCCAUUCAAAAACAGAAGAAUUACCUGAAACAACAACAGAAUCUUGACGAACAGCAACAAGAAGGUGAAUCUGAAGAAAGAUCAAAAGAAAAAAAAACCGGUUAAAAUUUCAGGCAUAAAAUCGGCUAAAGAAACAAAGAAGGCAUAAAAUUUCAGGCUUGACUCCAGACACAGGCUAAUUACAGCAAAUGAUGUAUUGUAGUAUCCUACCAAAUGAUAUUUUAUUCGUAGUUUAUUAAAUUUCAUUAUAUUGUAGUAUCCAUCUAUCCCAAUACAAAAAACACAGGUCAACAUUGGCAAAGGUAAAAAAUAUUGACAGAAAAACACAC